rnacentral:rRNA from 1 species
AACCGUAAUGCCAUUAAUUUGGUGUUGCGGGGAAACAGGACUGUUACUUUGAAAAAAUUAGAGCGUUUAAAGCAGGCUAGCGCCUGAAUACAUUAGCAUGGAAUAAUGAAAUAGGACGUUCGAACCUAUUUUGUUGGUUUCUAGGAUUGACGUAAUGAUUAAUAGGGAUAGUUGGGGGCAUUAGUAUUCAAUUGUCAGAGGUGAAAUUCUUGGAUUUAUUGAAGACUGACUACUGCGAAAGCAUUUGCCAAGGAUGUUUUCAUUAAUCAAGAACGAAAGUUAGGGGAUCGAAGACGAUCAGAUACCGUCGUAGUCUUAACCAUAAACUAUGCCGACUAGGGAUCGGAUGAUGUUAAUUUUUUAAUGACUCAUUCGGCGCCUUACG